rnacentral:rRNA from 1 species
GACGAACGCUGGCGGCGUGCCUAAUACAUGCAAGUCGAACGCUUCUUUCCUCCCGAGUGCUUGCACUCAAUUGGAAAGAGGAGUGGCGGACGGGUGAGUAACACGUGGGUAACCUACCCAUCAGAGGGGGAUAACACUUGGAAACAGGUGCUAAUACCGCAUAACAGUUUAUGCCGCAUGGCAUAAGAGUGAAAGGCGCUUUCGGGUGUCGCUGAUGGAUGGACCCGCGGUGCAUUAGCUAGUUGGUGAGGUAACGGCUCACCAAGGCCACGAUGCAUAGCCGACCUGAGAGGGUGAUCGGCCACACUGGGACUGAGACACGGCCCAGACUCCUACGGGAGGCAGCAGUAGGGAAUCUUCGGCAAUGGACGAAAGUCUGACCCAGCAACGCCGCGUGAGUGAAGAAGGUGUUCGGAUCGUAAAACUCUGUUGUUAGAGAAGAACAAGGACGUUAGUAACUGAACGUCCCCUGACGGUAUCUAACCAGAAAGCCACGGCUAACUACGUG